UGAGCAGGAGAGAAGAAGGAUCAGAGAGGAGCUGCAGGGGUCCACAUUCUUGCAACUCAGGCUGUCUCCUGGUCUUCGAAAGGUCCUUUUUGCCUCAGCUCUUGGUUCGGUCGCCCUAGCCCUGGCUGCACACCAGCUAAAACGGCACAAGCACAAGAAGAAGCAGAUUACAGCAGGCAAUGGAGGCCUAAAGCUCGGCGGGGUGCCUGGCUCUGUUUUGCCCGUUAGGCGUUCUUCCUCAGCUAAAAAAGUCCACAUUCUUGCAACUCAGGCUGUCUUCUGGUCUUCGAAAGGUCCUUUUUGGCACGGCUCUUGGUACGGUCGCCCUAGCCCUGGCUGCACACCAGCUAAAACGGCACAAGCACAAGAAGAAGCAGAUUACAGCAGGCAAUGGAGGCCUAAAGCUCGGCGGGGUGCCUGGCUCUGUUUUGCCCGUUAGGCGUUCUUCCUCAGCUAAAAAAGUGAUUUGGUCUCAGGGCUGGAUGCCAUGAUGGGGAAUGAUGG